AGUGAACGCUGGCGGUAGGCCUAACACAUGCAAGUCGAACGGCAGCACAGUAAGAGCUUGCUCUUACGGGUGGCGAGUGGCGGACGGGUGAGGAAUACAUCGGAAUCUACUUUUUCGUGGGGGAUAACGUAGGGAAACUUACGCUAAUACCGCAUACGACCUACGGGUGAAAGCAGGGGAUCUUCGGACCUUGCGCGAUUGAAUGAGCCGAUGUCGGAUUAGCUAGUUGGCGGGGUAAAGGCCCACCAAGGCGACGAUCCGUAGCUGGUCUGAGAGGAUGAUCAGCCACACUGGAACUGAGACACGGUCCAGACUCCUACGGGAGGCAGCAGUGGGGAAUAUUGGACAAUGGGCGCAAGCCUGAUCCAGCCAUACCGCGUGAGUGAAGAAGGCCUUCGGGUUGUAAGCCCUUUUGUUGGGAAAGAAAAGCAGCAGGUUAAUACCCCGCUGUUCUGACGGUACCCAAAGAAUAAGCACCGGCUAACUUCGUG
rnacentral:rRNA from 1 species